rnacentral:rRNA from 1 species
UUGUCCCCUAAAUAGGGACUAGUAUGAACGGCUAAAUGAGGACAAAACUGUCUCUUACGGACUGGCCAAUGAAAUUGAUUUUCCUGUACAAAAGCCGGAAUAUACCCAUAAGACGAGAAGACCCUGUGGAGCUUCAAAACCAAAAUCACCAAACAUGCUUCUUGGUUUUUUAGUUGGGGCGACUUUGGAGCAAAAAAAACCCUCCAAAACAUAAAUCUAUUUAUUAAGACUAACACACCAAAAAUAAUUUUAUAGACCCAGCAGUAUUUUUUACUGACUGACCAAUGAACCAAGUUACCCCAGGGAUAACAGCGCCAUCCUCUUCUAGAGUCCAUAUCGACAAGAGGGUUUACGACCUCGAUGUUGGAUCAGGACACCCCUAUGGUGCAGUCGCUAUAAAAGGUUCGUUUGUUCAACGAUUAAAGUCCU